rnacentral:rRNA from 1 species
UUUUAACGGCCGCAGUAUACUGACUGUGCAAAGGUACAUAGUCUUUUAAUUGAAGGCUUGAAUGAAUGGUUGGACGAGAUAUUAACUGUUUCAUUUAAAUUUAUAAUAGAAUUUUAUUUUUUAGUCAAAAAGCUAAAAUAAUUUUAAAAGACGAGAAGACCCUAUAAAUCUUUAUAUUUAAUUUAUUAUGAAUUUUUAGAUUAUUUUUUUUAUAAUAAUUAUAAUAUUUUAUUGGGGUGAUAUUAAAAUUUAAUAAACUUUUAAUUUUUUAUUACAUUAAUUUAUGAUUUAUUGAUCCAUUAUUAUUGAUUAAAAAUUUAAGUUACUUUAGGGAUAACAGCGUAAUUUUUUUGGAGAGUUCAUAUCGAUAAAAAAUAUUGCGACCUCGAUGUUGGAUUAAGAUAUAAUUUUAGGUGUAGCUGCUUAAAUUUUAAGUCUGUUCGACUUUUAAUUUCUUAC